ensembl:lncRNA
CUCGCUCAGCAGAUAACUGGUAAAAAAAAAAACUUGCUGGAUCGUCAGCGUUUUCUCUCCAUGUCAGCGGCGAUAAGGAGGCAUCAGUGCUUCAGGGUUGAGGUGUCACCUGCUGAGGGAAACUCGCUCUGCUGUCACCUGCUGCCAGCCUUCCCCCAUCACCCCUCACCGGGUCGCCGUCUCCACCGGCAGGGGGGGGGGGGCAGAGCCCGUGGCUGAUGGUUUUAUCUCAGCAGGAAGUGGCCAAAGGGAGGCCUGGCUGCGGGACUCGGAACUGAUUGGUCGGAGCCGGAGUCGGCUUAGUGGCUGAUGAAGCCGAGCACGGCUGUUUCUAAAGUGCUUUUUACUGGGACGGAUACCUCCUCCUCCUGCCUGAGGUGAGAGACCUCCUCCUGCAUGAGGUGAGAGACCUCCUCCUGCCUGAGGUGAGAGACCUCCUCCUGCCUGAGGUGAGAGACCUCCUCCUGCCUGAGGUGAGUGACCUGCUACAUCGGGUACACUGUAAAAAAAGGAGAGGAGGAGACGGCGUCACGAACACCCAGGAGAGCUCACAGGCAGCGUGUGUUGACGCACACACACACUUCUAUGUAACAUGACGAGAGCAACUUGUUGCUUUUAACAUGCGACGGAGGUCAUUUCAACGUUUAAUUGAGUCCAGCUGACAGCUCUUCUCUUUGGGUUGAAAGUUCUGCUCAAACGAUUUGGCUUUAAUCACAAAGUCUGGACAAAAGUCAGAAACUGCCGAAGGGAAUUUAUUUAGUCUCCAAACUAAACUUCAAAAUGCAGAGAAACGUUUUAAAUGUUUAUUCAGCUUCUGUGUUCACGUCAGAAUAUCUGUCUGAAAUCUUUAAGCUGGUGUCUAAGUUUAAAUGGACACAUCUUCAGCAUUUUAACGUUAUAUUAUUGGAAUAGUUGUUAAAGAACUCUUGAAACUAAAGUUCUCAUGGCGAGACUCGAUUACAUGCAAAGACUCGCACACGAUGCCACCUGAUGCAAAUAUGCAUCAUAAAUAUGAUGAUUUUCCACCUCAGAAAGAAGACUUGCUCCUCCAGGAGUCUGUGACCUUACUGGACAGCUCAGCCUGCUAGCCGCCGGUUAGCUUCAACCUUGAAGACAUUUCAUGAGCUUCCUGAGGAAAACAUUGGGCACCAGGAGAAUGAAAUGUUUCUCGGGGUCACGGGGUCAGAGGUGAGCGUGGGCUGCAGGACACCGUCGGCCAGCUGCCGUCUUCCUUUUUAUCCGUUCACAAUUAUCACAUUUGGCAGCUGAGCAGCCGCUGUCUUUUGGCUCAUGUCGGCAGUUUUCCGUCAUUCGUCUUCUGCUCGGGAAGAGAGACUGAGGAGGAAACGAGACAGAGGACGUUGGAGUCAGGACGGGAAUCCAUCAGCAUGACGGGAAGAGGAGAAGGGGAACAAAAGCCAGCGAGCGCAAUUAUAACACGUUGAUAAUAUAAGUAUACUUCUGUUUCAUGCUUCUAGUUCAUUGUUUAUCCAGAAGACUUGACGCACUUUGUAGAACAAGUUGGCAUCAGUGGCAUUUUUUGUACAAUAUUUUUAUUUUAGAUAAAUGUGUAAAAUAUCACAUGAAAAAGUUGGCUAAAUAGAUUUCCAGUGUUCCUGCCAGCAGGUCCUGACUUACAAUGAGUUUGAGCUCCUUUUCAAUAAAACCUUGUAGGUAUUAAAAGAUAUAUUUUGAUACGAGGACGGAGAUGAAAAGUGAAUUUCUGAUUUCCAACACGAGGCUCAUCUGGACCUGUUGGCCGUCUGCAGGGCUCCAAGGUCCAGAACAAUCUGCCACAACAUGAGGAGCGUGGGCUGGAUUCUAAUCCCCCCUCUCCUUGAGCUGAGGUUGCCCCCCCCACUCAUGUGGCAGGGGGGGGGCAACCUCAGCCGGCGGGUCUCAUCCACAAUAUU